UGCCUCAUGUUACGAAAUUUCCGUCAGUCACAUGUCCAAUGUCCUUGACCUCAUUUUCAUGGUUCAGUGACCACUUGAAAAAAAAAGUUCAAUUUUUUUGUAAUGUUGAAUUCUCUCUUAUUAUAAGUAAUAGGAUAACUAUAUUUCAUAUGUGCGUACCUUGCAAGGUCCUCAUGUCUGUCAGACAGUUUUCACUUGACCUCGACCUCAUUUCAUGGAUCAGUGAACAAGGUUAAGUUUUGGUGGUGAAGUCCAUAUCUCAGAUACCAUAAGCAAUAGGGCUAGUAUAUUCGGUGUAUGGAAGGACUGUAAGGUGUACAUGUCCAACUGGCAGGUGUCAUCUGACCUUGACCUCAUUUUCAUGGUUCAGUGGUUAUAGUUAAAUUUUUGUGUUUUGGUCUGUUUUUCUCAAACUAUAUGCAAUAGGUCUACUAUAUUUGUUGUAUGGAAUGAUUGUAAGGUGUACAUGUCUAGCGGGCAGAUGUCAUGUGACCUUGACCUCAUUUUCAUGGUUCAGUGGUCAAUGUUAAGUUUUUGAGUUUUGGUCUUUUUAUCUAAUACUAUAUGCUAUAGGUCAACUAUAUUUGGUGUAUGGAAAUAUUUUAUGAUCUUUAUGUCAGUCGCGCAGGUUUGAUUUGACCGUGACCUCAUUUUCACGGUUCAUUGCACAGUGUUAAGUUUUUGUGUUUUGGUCUAUUUU
rnacentral:lncRNA from 1 species